rnacentral:rRNA from 1 species
GACGAACGCUGGCGGCGUGCUUAACACAUGCAAGUCGAACGGAAAGGCCCUGCUUUUGUGGGGUGCUCGAGUGGCGAACGGGUGAGUAACACGUGAGUAACCUGCCCUUGACUUUGGGAUAACUUCAGGAAACUGGGGCUAAUACCGGAUAGGAGCUCCUGCUGCAUGGUGGGGGUUGGAAAGUUUCGGCGGUUGGGGAUGGACUCGCGGCUUAUCAGCUUGUUGGUGGGGUAGUGGCUUACCAAGGCUUUGACGGGUAGCCGGCCUGAGAGGGUGACCGGGAGAAGGGGGAAAGAGAGAAGGGCGGGAGGGAGACGGGGGGAAGAAGGGGGGGAGAGGGAAGAAUGGGUGGAGGCUGGAUGCAGCAAUGGCGUGGGAGGGAUGAGGGGCGUCGGGUUGGAAAAAGGGGGCGCCUGUGAAGAAGGGUGAGUGAGGGGAAUGGGUAAAGAAGCACGGGCGAAGUACGUG